CAUCCCAGGAAGGGGCCGAGCAGGGCCAAACAGGGGCGGUGCCCACUAGGGGAGAGCUGGCCACGGGGAGCCAUCCCAAGGGCCACAGGCAGGCUGGGCUUCCCGGACUCCUCAGACUCCCUCUCCCCAGGGAGUGACGGGGAGGGACCAGUGCUGUUCUGCCCCCACCCGUGGAGUCAGCCUGCCUCCAAGGAAACCCGAGGAGGGGGCAGAGGCGUCCCUAUGGCAGUAACAAAUGUCCUGAAGGACCCAAAUAGAGGCUGAGAUCUAGAGUGACGGGCUAGGGCAGGUGGUAACCAAGCCAGGAAUGGGACGAGAUGCCAGAACCAGCAGGAGAUCUGUUCAAGUCCUAACCCCUUGGUUCCUGUAAAUGUGACCUUAUUUGGAAAAAGGUCUUUGCAGAUGCAAGUGAAGGAUCUUGAGCUGACAUCAUCCUGGCUUUAGGGUGAGCCUUAAAUCCAAUGAUCGGCGUCCAUAUAAGAAGUGGGAAGACAGAGAGGGAAAGCCAUGUGAAGGUGGAGGCAGGACAAGCCAAGGAAUGCCAGGAGCUGCCAGGAGCCACCAGGAGCAGGAAGAAGUGGGGAGGAUCCUGCCCCAGAGCCUUUGGCGGCAGCGGCCCUGCCGGCACCUGGACAUUUGGCCUCCAGAACUGGAAGAAUAAAUUUCUGUUGUUUGAAGACA